GAACUGCGAUAAGUAAUGUGAAUUGCAGAAUUCAGUGAAUCAUCGAGUCUUUGAACGCACAUUGCGCCCCCUAGCAUUCCGGGGGGCAUGCCUGUCCGAGCGUCAUUGCUGCCCUUCAAGCCCGGCUUGUGUGUUGGGUCGUCGUCCCCUCCGGGGGACGGGCCCGAAAGGCAGCGGCGGCACCGCGUCCGGUCCUCGAGCGUAUGGGGCUUUGUCACCCGCUCGAUAAGGACCGGCCGGGCGCCAGCCGGCGUCUCCAACCUUUUUUUCUCAGGUUGACCUCGGAUCAGGUAGGGAUACCCGCUGAACUUAAGC
rnacentral:misc_RNA from 1 species